GGAGAGGAAGAUGUGAUGAAGUGCUGGAAAAUCUACUCUGGGCGUGUGUGCUGUUUCCAGAUAGUAGGGCAUUAUGUUCCAGGAAAUAGUUCAUGAUUGCUAUCAGCUAAUAUCCCCUAGCUCUCCUAUUGCCUUUCUAAAGCUGCUGUUCCAUUCUCAGUGACAAGGAAUGGAUCUGCAACAAUGGAGUCCAUGCACACAGAAGAGGGCAAUAACAGGCCUUUCACAGAUGAUCUACCGAUGAGCUUUGUUCAGCUCCCUUCUGAGUCAAUGCUUGCAGAAUCCACCAUACUGUGUUGAAAUGCUCUGUGAAAUGUAGGUGAUGGCUGUUUUCUUUGUCUACUGCAGAAAUCUUGCUGAGUUCAGGCAGCUGAGUUAACUGAGCUUUGGGCAUAUGU
rnacentral:lncRNA from 1 species